GCCCGGGUGGCGGAACUGGAAGACGCGUUGGGCUUAAAACCCAAUGGCCUACAACAGGCCGUGAGGGUUCGACUCCCUCCCCGGGCACAA
rnacentral:tRNA from 1 species